AUGAACGCUGGCGGCGUGCUUAACACAUGCAAGUCGAACGAAGCACCUCUAAUCGAAGAUUGAGAAAGCUUGCUUUGAUGAUUCACCUUGAGGUGACUGAGUGGCGGACGGGUGAGUAACGCGUGGGUAACCUACCCUAUACAGGGGGAUAACAGUUGGAAACGACUGCUAAUACCGCAUAAGCGCACAGGACCGCAUGGUCUAGUGUGAAAAAACUCCGGUGGUAUAGGAUGGACCCGCGUCUGAUUAGCUAGUUGGUGAGGUAACGGCUCACCAAGGCGACGAUCAGUAGCCGACCUGAGAGGGUGACCGGCCACAUUGGGACUGAGACACGGCCCAAACUCCUACGGGAGGCAGCAGUGGGGAAUAUUGCACAAUGGGCGAAAGCCUGAUGCAGCGACGCCGCGUGAACGAAGAAGUAUUUCGGUAUGUAAAGUUCUAUCAGCAGGGAAGAAAAAUGACGGUACCUGACUAAGAAGCUCCGGCUAAAUACGUGCCAGCCGCGGC
rnacentral:rRNA from 1 species